UACGGGGGGGGCAAGCGUUGUUCGGAAUUACUGGGCGUAAAGGGCUCGUAGGCGGCCAACUAAGUCAGACGUGAAAUCCCUCGGCUUAACCGGGGAACUGCGUCUGAUACUGGAUGGCUAGAGGUUGGGAGAGGGAUGCGGAAUUCCAGGUGUAGCGGUGAAAUGCGUAGAGAUGUGGAGGAACACCGAUGGCGAAGGCAGCCUCCUGGGCCAACACUGACGCUCAUGCACGAAAGCGUGGGGAGCAAACAGG
rnacentral:rRNA from 1 species